CCUCAAUCUAUCUUUUUCAAUAAUAGUAUUAUUCGAUUUCGUCUUUGCCUCGCUUUCUUACACUGGUCUCUUCUUCUUUUUCAAACCCCAUCUGCUUACUCACCUUUCUUUAUUUUCAACAUUCUCUCUAUCCCCUCUUUCUCUGUGUCUCUGCUCUGGUUUUGAUCUGCGCAUCCCUGAAAGGGCAAGCCAGAAAUGAAGAAGUUUG
rnacentral:misc_RNA from 1 species